rnacentral:tRNA from 1 species
GGUAUCAUAGCUCAGGGGGAGAGUGCAUGCUUAGCAUGCAUGAGGUCCUGGGUUCAAUCCCCAGUACCU